GAUUAACGCUGGCGGCAUGCCUAAGACAUGCAAGUCGAACGAAGUGAACCGAUGAAGUUAGAGUGCUUGCACAAAGAUGAAUUCGGAUCUCACUUAGUGGCGGACGGGUGAGUAACACGUGGGUAAUCUACCUUUAAGAUUGGGACAACACAGGGAAACUUGUGCUAAUACCGAAUAGGAAGUAGAAAUGAUUUUUUGUUUUGAAAGGUGCCUUUAAAGCACUACUUAAAGAUGAGCCUGCGGCGUAUUAGUUAGUUGGUAGGGUAAUGGCCUACCAAGACAAUGAUGCGUAGCCGAACUGAGAGGUUGAUCGGCCACAUUGGGACUGAGACACGGCCCAAAUCCAUGGGANACAGCAGUUAGGAACUAAUUCGUCAAUGGGGGAAA
rnacentral:rRNA from 1 species